rnacentral:rRNA from 1 species
CUGCAUGGCUGUCGUCAGCUCGUGUCGUGAGAUGUUGGGUUAAGUCCGUAACGAGCGCAACCCUGUCCUUAGUUACCAGCACGUUAUGUGGGCACUCUAAGGAGACUGCCGGUGACAAACCGGAGGAAGGUGGGGGAUGACGUCAAGUCAUCAUGGCCCUUACGGCCUGGGCUACACACGUGCUACAAUGGUCGGUACAAAGGGUUGCCAAGCCGCGAGGUGGAGCUAAUCCCAUAAAACCGAUCGUAGUCCGGAUCGCAGUCUGCAACUCGACUGCGUGAAGUCGGAAUCGCUAGUAAUCGUGAAUCAGAAUGUCACGGUGAAUACGUUCCCGGGCCUU